ensembl:lncRNA
UGCGAAAUCGGCAGGGGUUCAAAUACUUAUUUUCCCCACUGUAUUUAUGCAUGCAUGUAUGUAGUAAGUGCUAAGAGUGGCUCUCCUACUCAGGUCUUUCAUGGCUAAAGGUGAGGUUAGUGGCGCAGGUGGAUGAGUGUGUCCACUGCUGCACUGGAGCCCCUUGCUCCCCUCGUCUGAAGGUCUGUGCUCCCCUCGUCUGAAGGUCUGUGCUCCCCUCGUCUGAAGGUCUCUGCUCCCCUCGUCUGAAGCCCCUUGCUCCCCUCGUCUGAAGGUCUGUGCUCACGGAGUCGCUGCCUUUCCUCCUUCGGCACCUCAGAGCACAAUGAGAUGAAAGGUCCGAGGCCCCUGUGCCUUUUCCUCUCUCUUGUUUCCUGCUCUCUUGCCUCUUCACCUCUACGGCUCUGCUCUCCCUCGGAGUGUGACACACCACGCUGGAGUCUGAAAGGCCUCAGAUAGAGAAGGCGGACGAGAAUGCUCCUGCUGUCCGUCUGUGGUUGGUGUGAGACAGCCUUUUGUCUUUUAACGCCA